rnacentral:rRNA from 1 species
UGCAGUCGAGCGAACAGAUGAAGUGCUUGCACUUCUGACGUUAGCGGCGAACGGGCGAGUAACACGUUAGGAAUCUACCUAUAAGCGGGGGAUAACAAUCGGAAACGGGUGCUAAUACCGCAUAAUAUCUUCUUCCGCAUGGAAGAAGAUUGAAAGACGGCUCUGCUGUCACNUAUAGAUGACCUUGUGGUGCAUUAGUUAGUUGGUGGGGUAAUGGCCUACCAAGAAGAUGAUGCAUCGCCGACCUGAGAGGGUGAUCGGCCACAUUGGGACUGAGACACGGCCCAAACUCCUACGGGAGGCAGCAGUAGGGAAUCUUCCGCAAUGGGCGAAAGCCUGACGGAGCAAUGCCGCGUGAGUGAAGAAGGCCUUCGGGUCGUAAAACUCUGUUAUAAGAGAAGAACAAAUUGUAGAGUAACUGCUACAGUCUUGACGGUAUCUUAUCAGAAAGCCACGGCUAACUACGUGCCAGCAGCCGCGGUAAUACGUAGGUGGCAAGCGUUGUCCGGAUUUAUUGGGCGUAAGGGAGCGCAGGUGGUUUCUUAAGUCUGAUGUGAAAGCCCACGGCUUAACCGUGGAGGGUCAUUGGAAACUGGGAAACUUGAGUACAGAAGAGGAAUGUGGAACUCCAUGUGUAGCGGUGGAAUGCGUAGAUAUAUGGAAGAACACCAGUGGCGAAGGCGACAUUCUGGUCUGUUACUGACACUGAGGCUCGAAAGCGUGGGGAGGAAACAGGAUUAGAUACCCUGGUAGUCCACGCCGUAGACGAUGAGUGCUAGGUGUGGGAGGGUUUCCGCCCUUCAGUGCCGCAGUUUACGCAUUAAGCACUCCGCCUGGGGAGUACGACCGCGAGGUUGAAACUCAAGGAAUUGACGGGGAC